rnacentral:rRNA from 1 species
AGAGUUUGAUCCUGGCUCAGGAUGAACGCUAGCGGCAGGCUUAAUACAUGCAAGUCGAGGGGCAGCACAGUAUAGCGAUAUAUGGGUGGCGACCGGCAAACGGGUGCGUAACACGUACGCAACUUACCCUUUACUGGGAGAUAGCCCAGGGAAACUUGGAUUAAUAUCCCAUAUUGCAGAGAAUCGGCAUCGGUUUUCUGCCAAAGUUCCGACGGUAAAGGAUGGGCGUGCGGUUGAUUAGGUAGUUGGCGGGGUAACGGCCCACCAAGCCUACGAUCAAUAGCUGAUGUGAGAGCAUGAUCAGCCACACGGGCACUGAGACACGGGCCCGACUCCUACGGGAGGCAGCAGUAAGGAAUAUUGGGCAAUGGACGCAAGUCUGACCCAGCCAUGCCGCGUGAAGGAUGAAGGCCCUCUGGGUUGUAAACUUCUUUUAUCUGGGGCGAAAGGCGGUUAUUCUUAGCCGUUUGACAGUACCAGAGGAAUAAGCACCGGCUAACUCCGUGCCAGCAGCCGCGGUAAUACGGAGGGUGCAAGCGUUAUCCGGAUUCACUGGGUUUAAAGGGUGCGUAGGUGGAUCUGUAAGUCAGAGGUGAAAUCCCCGAG